rnacentral:misc_RNA from 1 species
UACGGAGGGUGCAAGCGUUAAUCGGAAUUACUGGGCGUAAAGCGCGCGUAGGCGGUUUAUUAAGCGGGAUGUGAAAUCCCCGGGCUCAACCUGGGAAUUGCAUUUCGAACUGAUAGACUAGAGUGUAGAAGAGGGGUGUGGAAUUUCCGGUGUAGCGGUGAAAUGCGUAGAGAUCGGAAGGAACACCAGUGGCGAAGGCGACACCCUGGUCAAACACUGACGCUGAGGUGCGAAAGCGUGGGUAGCAAACAGG